rnacentral:rRNA from 1 species
AUGAACGCUGGCGGCGUGCCUAAUACAUGCAAGUCGAGCGAACGGACGAGAAGCUUGCUUCUCUGAUGUUAGCGGCGGACGGGUGAGUAACACGUGGAUAACCUACCUAUAAGACUGGGAUAACUUCGGGAAACCGGAGCUAAUACCGGAUGAUAUUUUGAACCGCAUGGUUCAAAAGUGAAAGACGGUCUUGCUGUCACUUAUAGAUGGAUCCGCGCUGCAUUAGCUAGUUGGUAAGGUAACGGCUUACCAAGGCAACGAUGCAUAGCCGGCCUGAGAGGGUGAUCGGCCACACUGGAACUGAGACACGGUCCAGACUCCUACGGGAGGCAGCAGUAGGGAAUCUUCCGCAAUGGGCGAAAGCCUGACGGAGCAACGCCGCGUGAGUGAUGAAGGUCUUCGGAUCGUAAAACUCUGUUAUUAGGGAAGAACAUAUGUGUAAGUAACUGUGCACAUCUUGACGGUACCUAAUCAGAAAGCCACGGCUAACUACGUG